GACGAACGCUGGCGGCGUGCUUAACACAUGCAAGUCGAACGGAAAGGCCCUGCUCUUGCGGGGUGCUCGAUUGGCGAACGGGUGAGUAACACGUGAGUAACCUGCCCUUGACUUUGGGAUAACUUCAGGAAACUGGGGCUAAUAUCGGAUAGGAGCUCCUGCUGCAUGGUGGUGGUUGGAAAGAUUCGGCGGUUGGGGAUGGACUCGCGGCUUAUCAGCUUGUUUGUGGGGUAGUGGCUUACCAAGGCUUUGACGGGUAGCCGGCCUGAGAGGGUGACCGGCCACAUUGGGACUGAGAUACGGCCCAGACUCCUACGGGAGGCAGCAGUGGGGAAUAUUGCACAAUGGGCGGAAGCCUGAUGCAGCAACGCCGCGUGCGGGAUGACGGCCUUCGGGUUGUAAACCGCUUUCGCCUGUGACGAAGCGUGAGUGACGGUAAUGGGUAAAGAAGCACCGGCUAACUACGUG
rnacentral:rRNA from 1 species